rnacentral:misc_RNA from 1 species
GAUGAAGAACGCAGCAAAAUGCGAUAAGUAAUGUGAAUUGCAGAAUUCAGUGAAUCAUCGAAUCUUUGAACGCACAUUGCGCCCGCCAGUAUUCUGGCGGGCAUGCCUGUUCGAGCGUCAUUUCAACCCUCAAGCCCUCGGGUUUGGUGUUGGGGAUCGGCGAGCCUUUCUGGCAAGCCGGCCCCGAAAUCUAGUGGCGGUCUCGCUGCAGCCUCCAUUGCGUAGUAGUAAAACCCUCGCAGCUGGAACGCGGCGCGGCCAAGCCGUUAAACCCCCAACUUCUGAAUGUUGACCUCGGAUCAGGUAGGAAUACCCGCUGAACUUAAGCAUAUCAAUAAGCGGAGGA